CCAACCUUUAACACAAGGUCUUGAUCUUGAACCUACUAUUACCUAGACUCUAUACUUAUACAUGCAAGCCUCAACAUGACGGUGAAAUAGCCCACCACAAACCACCCACCCCGAGCCGGUAUCAGGCCAACCGCCCAUAACACCAAGCAACAAGCCACACCCCCACGGGCUCGCAGCAGUAACUAACAUUAGGCCAUAAGCGUAAGCUUGACCUAAUAAAAGAGUUUCCAGAGCCGGUUAAUCUCGUGCCAGCGACCGCGGUUACACGACAGGCCCAAGAUAAUAUUACCGGCGUAAAGAGCGACUAAAUCACAGUUAUUCAUCUUAAGGAAGAAGCACAACUAGGCUGUAAAAAGCCAUAAGCCACACUAAUUACUAACCCUAACCUCUAACAAUUUUAACUCGCGAAAGUCAGGACACAAACUAAGAUUAGAUACCUUACUAUGCCCGACCAUAAUAAAACAGUCAAAAAACCAACUGCUCGCCAAAUAACUACGAGUAAAAACUUAAAAUUUAAAAGACUUGACGGUACUUCACACCGACCUAGAGGAGCCUGUCCAAUAACCGAUAACCCACGAUCAACCCAACCCGCUCUAGCCUAACAGUCUAUAUACCGCCGUCGCCAGCUUACCUUGUGAAAGAAAUAAAGUAAGCUCAAUAAUACCCCAUUAACACGACAGGUCGAGGUGUAACUAAUGAGCCGGACCAAGAUGGGCUACAUUUUCUCAAUCAGAAAAAACGAACAGACUAUGAAACUAGAAACUGAAGGCGGAUUUAGCAGUAAGCCGGGUAAACACGCCCAACCGAAACUAUCGCAAUGAAGUGCGCACACACCGCCCGUCAUCCCUGUAAAACACACAAACCAUCUAUAAACAAAUAACAUCUACCAAAACAGGGCAAGUCGUAACAUGGUAAGCGUACUGGAAAGUGUGCUUAG
rnacentral:ncRNA from 1 species